rnacentral:lncRNA from 1 species
ACGGUUAGCCGUUUGGAGUCUCAAGGUAAUCUGCCAUCCCAAAUUGAGCCAAACCCUCGACACAAUACAAGCACUAUGAAAUUGAGGAGUAGGAAGGUUUUAGAGCCUGUACCUGACAUGAGUCGCAGCCACGACACUAGUCUUGUCCACGACACUAGUCAAGAUAGGGAGAAACUUGACACGAAGGCUCCAGUAGAGUAAGC